UACAGAGGUCUCAAGCGUUGUUCGGAUUCAUUGGGCGUAAAGGGUGUGUAGGUGGCGCCGUAAGUCGGGUGUGAAAUCUCGGGGCUUAACUCCGAAACUGCAUUCGAUACUGCGGUGCUUGAGGACUGGAGAGGAGACUGGAAUUUACGGUGUAGCGGUGAAAUGCGUAGAUAUCGUAAGGAAGACCAGUGGCGAAGGCGGGUCUCUGGACAGUUCCUGACGCUGAGGCACGAAGGCCAGGGGAGCAAACGGG
rnacentral:rRNA from 1 species